AUGAGGGAGAUCCUGCACAUCCAGGGCGGCCAAUGCGGCAACCAGAUCGGCGCCAAGUUCUGGGAGGUGAUCUGCGGCGAGCACGGCGUCGACCCCACCGGCCAGUACACCGGCACGGCGCCCGAGCAGCUCGAGCGCAUGGACGUCUACUUCAACGAGGCCGGCGGCAACCGCUACGUGCCCCGCGCCGUCCUCAUGGACCUCGAGCCCGGCACCAUGGACUCGCUCCGCUCCGGCCCCAUCGGCGCCAUCUUCCGCCCGGACAACUUCGUCUACGGCCAGUCCGGCGCCGGCAACAACUGGGCCAAGGGCCACUACACCGAGGGCGCCGAGCUCAUCGACUCCGUCCUCGACGUCGUCCGCAAGGAGGCCGAGAACUCCGACUGCCUCCAAGGUUUUCAAGUAUGCCACUCUCUUGGCGGAGGCACUGGCUCCGGCAUGGGCACGCUGCUCAUCUCCAAGAUCCGGGAGGAGUACCCUGACCGCAUGAUGCUCACCUUCUCCGUGUUCCCGUCGCCCAAGGUGUCGGACACGGUGGUGGAGCCCUACAACGCGACACUGUCGGUGCACCAGCUCGUGGAGAACGCCGAUGAGUGCAUGGUCCUCGACAAUGAGGCUCUCUACGACAUCUGCUUCCGCACCCUCAAGCUCACCAACCCUUCCUUCGGUGACCUGAACCACCUCAUCUCGGCGACGAUGAGCGGUGUGACGUGCUGCUUGCGCUUCCCGGGGCAGCUCAACUCGGACCUCCGGAAGCUGGCAGUGAAUCUGAUCCCCUUCCCGCGGCUGCACUUCUUCAUGGUUGGGUUCGCGCCGCUCACGUCCAGGGGCUCGCAGCAGUACCGCGCGCUCACGGUGCCGGAGCUCACACAGCAGAUGUGGGACGCCAAGAACAUGAUGUGCGCGGCGGACCCGCGGCAUGGCCGCUACCUCACGGCGUCCGCCAUGUUCCGGGGCAAGAUGAGCACCAAGGAGGUGGACGAGCAGAUGAUGAACGUGCAGAACAAGAACUCCUCCUACUUCGUGGAGUGGAUCCCCAACAACGUCAAGUCCAGCGUCUGCGACAUCCCGCCCGUGGGGCUCGCCAUGUCCUCCACCUUCGUCGGCAACUCCACCUCCAUCCAGGAGAUGUUCCGCAGGGUCAGCGAGCAGUUCACCGCCAUGUUCCGCCGCAAGGCCUUCCUCCACUGGUACACCAGCGAGGGCAUGGACGAGAUGGAGUUCACCGAGGCCGAGAGCAACAUGAACGACCUCGUCGCCGAGUACCAGCAGUACCAGGACGCCACCGCCGAGGAGGAGUACGAGGAGGAGGAGGAGCCCGCCGCCGACCAAGCCUGA
rnacentral:rRNA from 1 species